AUCAAUUAGGGUUACAAGGAAUCAUCUCAGACCUAAUCUCUAAGAGAUUUAGCUACUCAUAAUUGAGUUUACAAAUAGCAUAAUCAAUGGAAAAAUUAAAACAUACAUAAACUGGAUUAGAGAUGAUGAAAUCGCCCCUUCUGCAGUCUUCUGGGUGUUGAAAUCGCACUUUAGCUCUCCAAAAUCGUAACCCUUGUUUUCAGAAUAGUCUUCAGCUUAAAUAGGCAACAUUUUCUGCGUCCAAAAUCGCGCAACGCCUCAUAAAAUCGCGCCACGAUUCUGAAAAAUCGCGCCACGCCACUCAAAAUCGCGCCACGGUUGCCAAUUUCCAGCACUUCCAAAAUUUCUGCUUUUUACUCCCCCAGGCUGUCUAAAAUUGCUACAGACUCAAUAAAAACAUCAAAACAACUGUUUCUUCAAAAUCUUGUAUUUUUCAUGCUUUCCUUGUUGUUUAAGCUUGCUUGUGAACUCAAAAUUAUCAUAAAAAGACUCUAAAAAUAGCAAAUGACUGACUGUC
rnacentral:lncRNA from 1 species